CCACCGAGUGCGACCUCCACAGUCACCGCCUCCAACGGCGUCUCUCGUUCGACCACCAGACGCAACCACCUUCACUCUGCGCCCAGCCGCCGCUGCCGCGCCUCCCUUGCCGCCGGCCAGCAUCCCCUUGAAGCUUUAAUUGGCGGAGCAUUCUUUGUAGGCGACUUUUGAAAGUGUUAAAGUGGCCUACUAGUUGUUUAUACAAGUCUCUAAGGAUCAAUAAGCAUUGUCCAUCUGCAGGUUUGAAGAUGUUGCAUCAUUGGGAUCGGGAAUAGAGAGCUUGUAUUUAGUUUUGAUUUGCUAAGUUGACUUGGGUUUGCUUAACUGGACUUUAAACUUGUCAUACUAUUUAUAUUUCCUUAUUUUCGUUGGUUGAUUUUUGGGACUAAACCUGUAAUCGAUUAUUUAUAAACCUAAAGUUA